UGAGAGAGAAGUGCACGUCGACCGACGGAGAACUGAGUUAAAGCGUUGCACAAAGAAAUAGUUGAUAAAACUGUUAAAAGGAGAUAAAUCCCAGUUUAUAUCUACUCAUGAAUGUGUGGGUACAUGGUUUCAUUUGACGAUUACAAAGGAGUUGCCUUAUUGCACGUGAGAGAUCGCCAGUGGGGGAAGGGAAAUUCGGACCACGUUAAUGGAGAUCGAGCAGGGGAGAGCAACGAAAUGUGAGAUCGAGUGUUAAUGACCAUGUGAGCUUUUGCUGUGUGCUUCGUGGAAUCAGUCGGAGUAAGUGUUGCUUAUUUAAUCGUCUCAAAGUCUGUAUCAUUUUGUGUAUUUUCUGAUUAAUAUGCUUAUAAGAAGCUAUAUAUACGCAAAUGGGAUAUGUAUGUUUAUGUUCUUUUUGUUCUUUGUUUGUUUAAACAGGAGAGCACAUAUAGGCCACUGCCGUUGUUUUGUACGCCAUUGUUUUGUACGCCAUUGUUUUGUACGCCGUUGUUUUGUACGCCGUUGUUUUGUACGCCGUUUUUCCGUUUUUGUAACCUUGUUUGCACCGGGUAAAAUUGAAGGGCCUGUAAUCCUGUGAAACCUCGUCAGGAAAGUUAAGACCACUGACGUUAAUUAGGUGGUUGUCUCUGUAAAUUUAUUUAUUUUUAUUUUCUUUACUUUGUCUUACCCUGAAUUAGACCUUAAUGCUGAGUUUCCUUUUAAGCUCAGUCAAGAAUAAAAGAACCCUUAUUUGUUAGA